UACGUAGGGUGCAAGCGUUGUCCGGAAUUAUUGGGCGUAAAGAGCUCGUAGGCGGUUUGUCGCGUCUGCUGUGAAAACCGGAGGCUCAACCUCCGGCCUGCAGUGGGUACGGGCAAACUAGAGUGCGGUAGGGGAGAUUGGAAUUCCUGGUGUAGCGGUGGAAUGCGCAGAUAUCAGGAGGAACACCGGUGGCGAAGGCGGAUCUCUGGGCCAUUACUGACGCUGAGGAGCGAAAGCCGGUGGGGAGCGAAACAGGG
rnacentral:rRNA from 1 species